rnacentral:rRNA from 1 species
CCAACAGGGAUUGCCUCAGUAACGGCGAGUGAAGCGGCAACAGCUCAAAUUUGAAAUCUGGUCCUUUCAGGCCCCGAGUUGUAAUUUGUAGAGGAUGUUUCGGGUGCGGCGCCGGUCUAAGUCCUUUGGAACCGGGCGUCAUAGAGGGUGAGAACCCCGUCUGUGACCGGCGACCAACCCCAUGUGUAACUCCUUCGACGAGUCGAGUUGUUUGGGAAUGCAGCUCAAAAUGGGUGGUAAAUUUCAUCUAAAGCUAAAUACCGGCCAGAGACCGAUAGCGCACAAGUAGAGUGAUCGAAAGAUGAAAAGCACUUUGGAAAGAGAGUCAAAAAGUACGUGAAAUUGUUGAAAGGGAAGCGCUGGCAACCAGACCUGCCUGCCGGCGAUCAACCUCCGUUCUCGGGGGUGCACUCGCCGGCGAUCAGGCCAGCAUCGGUUCGGGCGGCCGGAUAAAGGCCCCGGGAAUGUAGCUCCCCCCGGGGAGUCUUAUAGCCCGGGGUGCAAUGCGGCCAGCGCCGGACCGAGGACCGCGCUUCGGCAAGGAUGCUGGCGUAAUGGUUGUCAGCGACCCGUCUUGAAACACGGACCAAGA